AUACUUGGUGUGAAUUGCAGAAUCCCGUGAACCAUCGAGUCUUUGAACGCAAGUUGCGCCCGAAGCCAUUAGGCCGAGGGCACGUCUGCCUGGGCGUCACGCAUCGCGUCGCCCCCCUCCCCGCGCGCCGCGCUCGGGACGGGGGGCGGAUGUUGGCCUCCCGUGCGCCCCGCCGCGCGGCCGGCCCAAACCCGAUCCCCCGGCGACCCGCGUCGCGACAAGUGGUGGUUGAACGUCUCAAUCUCGCGUCUCGUCGCUCGCGGGCCGUCCGCGCGGGCUCCGAAGAGGACCCAACGGCGCGGCCAAGCCGCCGCUCCCUCGACCGCGACCCCAGGUCAGGCGGGAUCACCCGCUGAGUUUAAGCAUAUCAAUAAGCGGAGGAGAAGAAACUUACAAGGAUUCCCCUAGUAACGGCGAGCGAACCGGGAAGAGCCCAACUUGAGAAUCGGGCGGCCGCGCCGUCCGAAUUGUAGUCUGGAGAAGCGUCA
rnacentral:rRNA from 1 species